GUUAGGGGCAAACUUCUCCCCUGUGCUAGCGGGACACUCUGAACUCCACACAUAAACCUGACGAAUUGACGAUACCCCCUGGCGACUUGGAGGGGCAAGUAACUCGCUUUAUGUUGCUACAACGGUGUUGCUACGGGAAGACUGAGGCUGCUUCUGGCGUUUAAAUUUCAGACAGGAUAGAACUGAAAUACUUCUCGUAAUAGUGGUUCUGUCCUGGGGAUAUGUCAUCUACGCAACAAGAAUCGCAUCAAAAUGGCAACUGGAAAAAACAUUCAAGACCACAAACUGAACCCUCGAUUUGGAACUGAAUAUAAACACGAAUGAAACUAGAAACUUGUGUCAGAAACUCAAUGUUAAAAAAAUAAAUAAAUAAAAAUUACAUUUGAUGCUCAACUGACCCUUUUUCAUUAAAUAUGGUUUAAUCAAAAUAUAUAUGGAAACAGGUAUUUUAAAUAUUGCACAUGUAAAAUAAAACUAUUUUUAAAGUAACAUUGUGUGCAUUAUUAUUUC